rnacentral:rRNA from 1 species
GGGGAUGACGUCAAGUCAUCAUGGCCCUUACGACCAGGGCUACACACGUGCUACAAUGGCGCAUACAAAGAGAAGCGACCUCGCGAGAGCAAGCGGACCUCAUAAAGUGCGUCGUAGUCCGGAUUGGAGUCUGCAACUCGACUCCAUGAAGUCGGAAUCGCUAGUAAUCGUGGAUCAGAAUGCCACGGUGAAUACGUUCCCGGGCCUUGUACACACCGCCCGUCACACCAUGGGAGUGGGUUGCAAAAGAAGUAGGUAGCUUAACCUUCGGGAGGGCGCUUACCACUUUGUGAUUCAUGACUGGGGUGAAGUCGUAACAAGGUAACCGUAGGGGAACCUGCGGUUGGAUCACCUCCUUACCUGAAAGAAGC